AACGAACGCUGGCGGCAGGCUUAACACAUGCAAGUCGAGCGGGCCCUUCGGGGUCAGCGGCAGACGGGUGAGUAACACGUGGGAACGUACCUUUUGGUUCGGAACAACUCCGGGAAACUGGAGCUAAUACCGGAUAAGCCCUUAGGGGGAAAGAUUUAUCGCCAAAAGAUCGGCCCGCGUCUGAUUAGCUAGUUGGUGGGGUAACGGCCCACCAAGGCGACGAUCAGUAGCUGGUCUGAGAGGAUGAUCAGCCACACUGGGACUGAGACACGGCCCAGACUCCUACGGGAGGCAGCAGUGGGGAAUAUUGGACAAUGGGCGCAAGCCUGAUCCAGCCAUGCCGCGUGAGUGAUGAAGGCCUUAGGGUUGUAAAGCUCCUUUGUCCGGGAAGAUAAUGACUGUACCGGAAGAAUAAGCCCCGGCUAACUUCGUG
rnacentral:rRNA from 1 species